GGAGCGAAAGCGACGUUCAACCGCAAAACAAGCAGAGGGGGCUUAGUGGUGGGGUGACUGCGUACCUUUUGUAUAAUGGGUCAGCGACUUAUAUUCUGUAGCAAGGUUAACCGUAUAGGGGAGCCGGAGGGAAACCGAGUCUUAAUUGGGCGUUAAGUUGCAGGGUAUAGACCCGAAACCCGGUGAUCUAGCCAUGGGCAGGUUGAAGGUUGGGUAACACUAACUGGAGGACCGAACCGACUAAUGUUGAAAAAUUAGCGGAUGACCUGUGGCUGGGGGUGAAAGGCCAAUCAAACCGGGAGAUAGCUGGUUCUCCCCGAAAGCUAUUUAGGUAGCGCCUCGUGAAUUCAUCUCCGGGGGUAGAGCACUGUUUCGGCUAGGGGGCCAUCCCGGCUUACCAACCCGAUGCAAACUGCGAAUACCGGAGAAUGUUAUCACGGGAGACACACGGCGGGUGCUAACGUCCGUCGUGAAGAGGGAAACAACCCAGACCGCCAGCUAAGGUCCCAAAGUCAUGGUUAAGUGGGAAACGAUGUGGGAAGGCCCAGACAGCCAGGAUGUUGGCUUAGAAGCAGCCAUCAUUUAAAGAAAGCGUAAUAGCUCACUGGUCGAGUCGGCCUGCGCGGAAGAUGUAACGGGGCUAAACCAUGCACCGAAGCUGCGGCAGCGAACGUAUCACUUAAAGCGAUUCAGCGGGUUACGAUUGACGGAGCGAAGCGACGUCAAAGCGUAUACAAAGUCGAGUCGGUUUAAGGAUACGUUCGUUGGGUAGGGGAGCGUUCUGUAAGCCUGCGAAGGUGGCCUGUGAGGGUUGCUGGAGGUAUCAGAAGUGCGAAUGCUGACAUAAGUAACGAUAAAGCGGGUGAAAAGCCCGCUCGCCGGAAGACCAAGGGUUCCUGUCCAACGUUAAUCGGGGCAGGGUGAGUCGACCCCUAAGGCGAGGCCGAAAGGCGUAGUCGAUGGGAAACGGGUUAAUAUUCCCGUACUUGGUGUUACUGCGAAGGGGGGACGGAGAAGGCUAUGUUGGCCGGGCGACGGUUGUCCCGGUUUAAGCGUGUAGGCUGGUUUUCCAGGCAAAUCCGGAAAAUCAAGGCUGAGGCGUGACGACGAGGCACUACGGUGCUGAAGCAACAAAUGCCCUGCUUCCAGGAAAAGCCUCUAAGCAUCAGGUAACACGAAAUCGUACCCCAAACCGACACAGGUGGUCAGGUAGAGAAUACCAAGGCGCUUGAGAGAACUCGGGUGAAGGAACUAGGCAAAAUGGUGCCGUAACUUCGGGAGAAGGCACGCUGACACGUAGGUGAAGUGAUUUACUCAUGGAGCUGAAGUCAGUCGAAGAUACCAGCUGGCUGCAACUGUUUAUUAAAAACACAGCACUGUGCAAACACGAAAGUGGACGUAUACGGUGUGACGCCUGCCCGGUGCCGGAAGGUUAAUUGAUGGGGUCAGCGCAAGCGAAGCUCCUGAUCGAAGCCCCGGUAAACGGCGGCCGUAACUAUAACGGUCCUAAGGUAGCGAAAUUCCUUGUCGGGUAAGUUCCGACCUGCACGAAUGGCGUAAUGAUGGCCAGGCUGUCUCCACCCGAGACUCAGUGAAAUUGAACUCGCUGUGAAGAUGCAGUGUACCCGCGGCAAGACGGAAAGACCCCGUGAACCUUUACUAUAGCUUGACACUGAACAUUGAGCCUUGAUGUGUAGGAUAGGUGGGAGGCUUUGAAGCGUGGACGCCAGUCUGCGUGGAGCCGACCUUGAAAUACCACCCUUUAAUGUUUGAUGUUCUAACGU
rnacentral:rRNA from 1 species